rnacentral:lncRNA from 1 species
AUGAACCAGAAAUGCAAAGCUUCUCUCUUCCUCCUGCUUUCUGAUUUCAUGUUCCCUCUCCUAAUGAGUGCUGGUAUACUGAACAACCUCACAGUUACCCAAGAUUCUUGUCCAGCUAAAGUGUUUGGAUUUCACGAAGAAAACAAGCAGGGAAAAAAGCCUGGAGGAAAACGGAGAUCGUGCAAGGUGAAAGGGUUUCUGAGUGGAGAAUUGAAGCCGCAAACUGCACAUCUCAUCAUCUCUUUAAGACUACAGUGCACUGCUUUGUUGCUCCUUGGAUUCCUGUGAUCUUUGCUUCCAUUUUGCAGAGACCUAACUUGUCCUGGAUUGGUAGAUGAAAUUGGCAUGUUUCUUUCUAGAAUUUAACUAAAUAUCCUUAGAUUUAAGUACAUUUCCUUAUAAAUGGCUUAAAAGAAAAUGAUGUUCUACCUAUGCUAAAUCAACUUCAUCUUCACAUAUGUUUUCUCCACACGAAAAGGAAAUUGUUUCAAAAUCAAUAGAAUCCUAAUUUCACACUAUCCAUAGUUUACCUUGGCAUUUUAAUUAGGAAACACAGUCUUUUCAGCUCCUCUCUGAAAUCACGUUUCUUUUUUUUUUUCUCAUG